rnacentral:rRNA from 1 species
UACGUAGGGUGCGAGCGUUAAUCGGAAUCACUGGGCGUAAAGCGCACGUAGGCGGAUUUGUAAGUCAGGGGUGAAAUCCCGGGGCUCAACCUCGGAACUGCCUUUGAUACUGCGAAUCUUGAGUCCGAUAGAGGUGGGUGGAAUUCCUAGUGUAGAGGUGAAAUUCGUAGAUAUUAGGAAGAACACCAGUGGCGAAGGCGGCCCACUGGAUCGGUACUGACGCUGAGGUGCGAAAGCGUGGGGAGCAAACAGG